CGGUGGAGCAUGUGGUUUAAUUCGAUGCAACGCGAAGAACCUUACCUGGUCUUGACAUCCACAGAACUUUGCAGAGAUGGAUUUGUGCCUUCGGGAACUGUGAGACAGGUGCUGCAUGGCUGUCGUCAGCUCGUGUUGUGAAAUGUUGGGUUAAGUCCCGCAACGAGCGCAACCCUUAUCCUUUGUUGCCAGCGGUCCGGUCGGGAACUCAAAGGAGACUGCCAGUGAUAAACUGGAGGAAGGUGGGGAUGACGUCAAGUCAUCAUGGCCCUUACGACCAGGGCUACACACGUGCUACAAUGGCGCAUACAAAGAGAAGCGACCUCGCGAGAGCAAGCGGACCUCAUAAAGUGCGUCGUAGUCCGGAUUGGAGUCUGCAACUCGACUCCAUGAAGUCGGAAUCGCUAGUAAUCGUGGAUCAGAAUGCCACGGUGAAUACGUUCCCGGGCCUUGUACACACCGCCCGU
rnacentral:rRNA from 1 species